ensembl:lncRNA
CCCCACAUUGGGGCGCCCCCCCCACGAUGCGGAGGAUCCUCUCCAUGAGGAAGAAGAGGAACAGCGCUGCCAACACCACCAGCAGCUGCCAUGGCUGCACACGCGUGUGCGCCUCCGCGUGCUCCUCGUGGCCCCCCUCCUCGUGCACGUGCAGCUCUAGGAACUGCCCCGCACACACGCGUGUUAACACGUGUGGGGGGUGUGGGCACGUAUGGGGUCAGACGUGUGGUCGUGUGGGUGGGAAUGGGCACGUGUGGUCAUGCAUGUGGUCAUACGUGUGGUCAUAUGUGUGGGAAUGGGCACAUGUGGUCAUAUGUGUGGUUAUAUGUGUGGUCGUGGGUCAUACGUGUGGUCAUAUGUGUGGAAAUGGGCACAUGUGGGCAUGUAUGGGGUCAUGCCUGUGGUCGUAUGUGUGGCUAAGGUUCAUACAUGUGGUCAUAUGUGAGGCCAUAGGUGUAUGUGGUCAUGUAUGUGGUCAUACGUGUGGUCAUAUGUGUGGGAAUGGGCACAUGUGGUCAUGCAUGUGGUCAUAUGUGUGGUCGUAUGUGUGGCUGUGGAUCAUACGUGUGGUCAUAUGUGUGGGAAUGGGCACAUGUGGUCAUGUAUGUGGUCAUGCGUGUGGUCGUAUGUGUGGCUGUGGGUCAUACGUGUGGUUAUAUGGGUGGCUAUGGGUCAUACGUGUGGUCAUAUGUGAGGCCAUAGGUGUAUGUGGUCAUGUAUGUGGGCAUACAUGUGGUCAUAUGUGUGGGAAUGGGCACAUGUGGUCACGUAUGCGGUCAUACGUGUGGUCGUAUGUGUGGGUAUGGGUCAUACGUGUGGUCAUAUGUGUGGGAAUGGGCACAUGUGGUCAUGUAUGUGGUCAUGCGUGUGGUCGUAUGUGUGGUAAUGGGUCAUACAUGUGGUCAUAUGUGUGGAAAUGGGCACAUGUAGUCAUGUAUGUGGUCAUACAUGUGGUCAUAUGUGUGGGAAUGGGCACAUAUGGUCAUGCAUGUGGUCAUACGUGUGGUCAUAUGUGUGGAAAUGGGCACAUAUGGUCACAUAUGUGGUCAUACGUGUGGUCAUAUGUGUGGGAAUGGGCACAUAUGGUCACAUAUGCGGUCAUACGUGUGGUUAUAUGUGUGGUAAUGGGUCAUACAUGUGGUCCUAUGGGUGGUCGUGGGUACGUGUGAUCAUGUAUGCGGUCAUACAUGUGGUUUUAUGUGUGGAAAUGGGCAUAUGUGG